rnacentral:tRNA from 2 species
UGGGUAGUGGUCUAAUUGGUAGGACCUUCGACUUUGAUUCGGAAGGAAGAAGUUCGAAUCUUCUCUACCCAG